rnacentral:rRNA from 1 species
GAUCCUGGCUCAGGACGAACGCUGGCGGCGUGCCUAAUACAUGCAAGUUGAACGCUGAAGACUGGUACUUGUACUAGUUGGAUGAGUAGCGAACGGGUGAGUAACGCGUGGGUAACCUACCUCUUAGCGGGGGACAACUAUUGGAAACGAUAGCUAAUACCGCAUAACAAUCACUAACACAUGUUAGGGAUUUGAAAGCACCAAUUGGUGCACUAAGAGAUGGACCCGCGUUGUAUUAGCUAGUUGGUAG